rnacentral:ncRNA from 14 species
GCUCAGUUGGUAGAGCACUGGUCUCCAAAACCAGGUGUCGUGAGUUCGAGUCUCCCAAC